rnacentral:rRNA from 1 species
UAAUACGGAGGGGGCGAGCGUUAUUCGGAAUUAUUGGGCGUAAAGGGCGCGUAGGCGGCUUGGCAAGUCAAAGGUGAAAUCCCUCGGCUCAACUGAGGAACUGCCUUUGAAACUGCCUGGCUUGAGGCCGGGAGGGGGUAGCGGAAUUCCCAGUGUAGCGGUGAAAUGCGUAGAUAUUGGGAGGAACACCAGUGGCGAAGGCGGCUACCUGGACCGGUUCUGACGCUGAUGCGCGAAAGCGUGGGUAGCAAACAGGAUUAGAUACCCUGGUAGUCCACGCUGUAAACGAUGGGUGCUCGGUGUCGCGGGUAUCGACCCCUGCGGUGCCUUAGCUAACGCGUUAAGCACCCCGCCUGGGGAGUACGGUCGCAAGGCU